UUUCAUUCAGUACAGUAGCACAACCCAAAAUUUUUUAGAGAGAAAGAAAUUUGUGACGUUGAAAGCAAUUUUGGAGAGUAAGAAGAGAGUGGAGAUAAAAUGGCUCCUUCGGUGAAUGACCCACCCGCGUUUAUAUAGACAGAUUAAGAUCCCACUUCGUUUGCAGUACACAUGAAAUGCACCAUCUCGCGUGUACUAACAGUGACUUGGAACCAAUUCGUGUGUACUAACCUUGAUUUGGAACUAAUUCGUGGCCGCCGCCCCUGAUUUCACCAAUUCGCGGACGCCAGCCACUAAAUGGCUGCUCCACCAUUUCGUGUGCGCCGCACCAGAGGUGGCCUCUGCUGCUGUCAGGCCCAUUUCGCGGGCACCGGGGCUGAGUUGACGAGGAACUCCAUUUCGCAGGCGAUGUUUUUUAAAUAUUUAUUUAUAUAAAAAAGCCUCGGUUCUGUUUGCUCUGUUCGAUUCCUCGACGAUGAUUGCGUUUAGCUAUUUCUGCUACGAUUUCCGUGAUCUUAAUCGCUAUAUUUUUAUGAUUUUCUGUAAUUUCGAUUAUUGAUUUUGGUAAUAUGAUCUGCGUUUAGAUUGUUCGAAUUUUAGGUUAAACUCUGAUGAAACAACAACGGGCUUUGGAAAUAUCUCAGAUCUAAGAUCUAAAGAGAAGAUAAGGUUAACAAUACACUGAACUGAACACUGUUAGGUGGCUUUGCUCUUUAUCCAAAGACUAUUGAUGACUGAACAUCUUUUACUGCAGAGUUAGAUUAUGUAGUUUAUUGCAGGGAGCAUCCCUUAUCUGGAUCUAGGGUUGGGGGAAAGAGAAGAGAGAAAAUAUACCUCACAGAGAGGGAUGGGUUCAACUUAUUAACAAUUAGUAUAGAAACGGGUUAGAUGCGUUAGUUUAUUGCCUUUAGAUUAGUUUCUCUAAUCCCCAUAUAGUUUAAGUUUAUGAUAAAAUCAUAAGGUUUACUUUUGAAUUUAGUGUUGAAAAAUGUGAAUUUGUUAAUUUUGAAGUUUACUAGGUUUGAAUGUUGGUUGACUUAGUUCAUUGCCUUUAGAUUAGUUUCUCUAAUCCCCAUAUAGUUUAAGUUUACAAUAAAAUCAUCAGUUUUAGUUUUGAAUUUUGUGUUGAAAAAUGUGAAUUUGUUAAUUUUGAAGUUUACUAGGUUUGAAUGUUGGUUGACUAAGUUGACUUAAUAUACAGCAGGAAAAGGGUCAGCCACUACCUAAGUUUGGUGAAUGGGAUGUUAAUGAUCCAGCUUCAGCUGUUAGAUCCCGGCAAAACUGCGAGUAAAGGUAACCAAUGCUUGGCAAAGAGAGAAGCCUCCAAAAGAGCAUAGAAAGUGAGAUCAGAAGCAGCAUCAUCAGAGAGAUAAACACUCAGCUUCUCAGAAGGAUAGUCAUAAGCCAUAAGAGACAAGACUGUGUUGAUCACCAUUAUUGGUGGUUCAAUAUCUGGAUCUGCUGUGCACACAAAUAUGUCCACUUUUGGUUUUCCUAAACACUAAGUUCCACCGGAAGGCUUGAGCCAAGACCCAGUAGAGGCCGAACCAUAGCUCCGCCGCAAGCAACCCGAGCCAAGUCCAUGUCCCAUAGUAGUAAUCUUCGCCGCCGCCGUGGUCUUCUCCUCCGGUGGGUAUGUGGGUCAACCUGUAAGCAUAGACAAAGCAGAUGGCGACAAACAAAGACAGUGAAAACAGCCUAUGUAGGAACCUCCCUCUUGAUUUGGU